rnacentral:RNase_P_RNA from 1 species
UCAGCCGGCCGGGCGGCCGCACCCGCAAGCGCCGAAAGGCGGCGGGUGAGGAAAGUCCGGGCUCCAUGGAGACACGGUGCCGGUUAACGACCGGCGGGGGCGACCCCAGGGAAAGUGCAACAGAAAGCAGACCGCCCCGCCGAUAAAUCGGCCCAUCUUUAUCGGGCAGACCGCCGCAAGCGGGCCGAUCUAUAGGCGGGGUAAGGGUGAAAGGGUGGGGUAAGAGCCCACCGCGCUGCCGGCAACGGGAGCGGCACGGCAAACCCCACCGGGAGCAAAACCGAAUAGGGAUGGCGCGAGGGGCGACCCUCAGGACUGUUUCCGGUCCGGCCAUCCGGGUAGGUUGCGUGAGGCGCGGAGCAAUCCGCGUCCAAGAUGAAUGGCCGCCACGUUCGCGCGCCGAAAGGCGCGCGGGCCAUACAGAACCCGGCUUACAGGCCGGCUGACAUU